UGAAAACUGAAAAGGGUUUUUGUUUCUUUACUUUUUGGGACAGAAAAAGAUUGGAUUUUUAUCUUGGGGUUUUGUGAUCUGGUUCAUUUUGGAGCUUUGAAGAGGAAUUGGAUAAUAAUUCUUGUAUGUUUAGAUAUAUGAUGCUGUCCAGUUCAUUCAGUGCUUGGAUCAGUCAUUUUCUAGCUUGCAUGGGAGGUUGCUUUGGUUGCUGUUCCAAAUCUCAACCAAUUAUUGCUGUGGAUGAACCAUCUAAUGGACUACGAAUACAAGGAAAAUUGGUGAGAAAGCCGAGUAUAUCGGAUGAUUUUUGGAGCACCAGUACAUGCGAUUUGGAGAUUAGUACUGUUCAAUCUCAUAGAAGCAUGUCUUCCAUCAGUAUCUCAAAUCAGAGCCUCAGUCAACACAGUGGCACUGGCAAUGCUAGCAACAACAAUGAAUUCGUAAAUCAUGGCUAUCUUCUUUGGAACCAGACUAGGCUUCAGUGGCUAGCAAGUAAAAAUCCAGAGAACCGACGAGUAGCUGAAGAACCGAUGUUAAAUUGGAAUGUUUCCUAUGAAAGCUUAUUUGGGACCAACAAGCGAUUCCCUCAGCCAAUUCCUCUCUCGGACAUGGUUGACUUUCUCGCUGAUAUUUGGGAGCACGAGGGUUUAUACGAUUAACCAUGUUGAUCGGAAUUACGUAUUGAUUUUCUUCGCGUUAUCUGAAUUUUCGGGUUGUUUUAACCUCUGAAAAAGUGGCUGAAUGUUGUCUUGAAAUCUCUUUGAUGCACACCUAGCCUUCCAAAUUUCCCAACAUGGCCAUUCGAUAAAAGUAAUUACCAAAAAAAUGGCUAUUCAUUGUAUAGGUUGUUAUGAAGAUUAAAGAUGGGGCUUGAUGAUAGAUUAGGAAAACAUCAAUUCCACGUAGCUAGGUGUUAUGACCCACCACUUGAUCUUGAAGAAGGAGGAAGAACCUAGAGUCUUAGAGAGACUUGUAGAAGACUCUAGAUUCUUGUAGAGAAGUCUUGAAAGACUUAAAGUUCUCUAGAAUUCUCUAGAGUGUGUAGAAAAUUCUAGAGUAGGAACUUUUUUGUAAAUAUGGAAGGAUUUGUAUAGUAAUUUUUAUUUACACUUAAGCUCCUUAGGAGUAGUAUAAAUAGAGGGGGCAUUCAUUUGUAAUAAACCAUUCAGAAAUCAAGCAUUCUUUCCAGUAAUAUA